rnacentral:rRNA from 1 species
AGUUAACGCGAUAAGUCGACCGCCUGGGGAGUACGGCCGCAAGGUUAAAACUCAAAUGAAUUGACGGGGGCCCGCACAAGCGGUGGAGCAUGUGGUUUAAUUCGAUGCAACGCGAAGAACCUUACCUACUCUUGACAUCCUGCGAAUUUGGUAGAGAUACCUUAGUGCCUUCGGGAACGCAGAGACAGGUGCUGCAUGGCUGUCGUCAGCUCGUGUUGUGAAAUGUUGGGUUAAGUCCCGUAACGAGCGCAACCCUUGUCCUUAUUUGCCAGCGGGUAAUGGCGGGAACUCUAAGGAGACUGCCGGUGACAAACCGGAGGAAGGUGGGGACGACGUCAAGUCAUCAUGGCCCUUACGAGUAGGGCUACACACGUGCUACAAUGGUCGGUACAAAGGGUUGCCAACUCGCGAGAGUGAGCCAAUCCCGAAAAGCCGAUCUCAGUCCGGAUCGGAGUCUGCAACUCGACUCCGUGAAGUCGGAAUCGCUAGUAAUCGUGGAUCAGAAUGCCACGGUGAAUACGUUCCCGGGCCUUGUACACACCGCCCGUCACACCAUGGGAGUGGACUGCACCAGAAGUGGUUAGCCUAACGCAAGAGGGCGAUCAC